CACAUCCUUUUAAGGGUAGUGCUGAAUCUCUUUCAUUCUUGAAUCUCCAGUGUCUAGGCCUAUGCUCAGGAUUUGAAAUGAAUCAUUUAAAAAUAAUAUGCACAUGUGGAGAUGCAGUGGCACCGAUGCUCCGCUUAUUUAGGGGUUUAGGCAUGCUUGGGAAUCUGGGACCUGGGGUGAUGAAGCGAGGGUAAGGGCGUGGAACAUGAGGGCAGCUGAUGGAGGUCUGUUUGUAUGUGGAGCACCAGGGGUGAGACCUUGUUUUAAGGGGACAAAUUCCUGUGCAUAAUGAGCUCGACCCAUUUAUAUGGUCUUGGUCAUGGGAGGUAUGUGAUUAUGAGUAGAAUGUGGUGCUGGUCCCUCUGAUUUAUGUGUAGCUCAGUCCCAUGGACUUGUAGCUGAUCUGGAGGGAGAGACAGGAAAAUCUGCAAGCCCUUUCAUUAAUACUCUCUCCACUUUAUGUUACUCUUAAUUGGAGGCUCCUGGCAGUGCUGAUCGUCCCACUCUACCAUACCGCUGUUCCAGUUGUGGGCGAUGAUGUCAGCUGGGAGACUGCAGUGCUGAGAGGGGACAGAAGCAGCAAUUGGGUGGCUGUGUAGCCAGAAAAAGCCCCAUAAAUACUGAAGGUUAUGUCAUAUGCUUUGUGAUCAACCAUCUUGCUUUGCCAGAGACUGAGGCAUGCCCCGGGAUGUGGGCUUUCAGUGCUAAAACCAAGAGAGACCGUGGCAAACCAGGACCAUUGAUGACAUUAGCCCAGGCGAGUCUUAUUAGCUACGCCCUGUGCUAAGCGUUUUACCUGAUUCAUUUCAUGCGUCUCCCCUACCACCUCUGAGGCAGACUCUAUUUGCAUUUGUUUCCACUUUAUCGAUGCAAGUAGCUGGGCAGAAAGAGAUUAGCUAGUGCCCAAGAAAAUGUCAAUGUCAGUUAUCCUUGGGUAGUGAGAUUUCAAGUGAACUUUACUGUUUUGCUUUGUUCUAUGUAUUAUUUGAAUUUAUUAAAUGAUUG
rnacentral:lncRNA from 1 species